GGCUUUUUGAUAAUAAUUUAAGGUCUAACCUGCCCAAUGAGGAUUUAAAUGGCCGCGGUAUUUUGACCGUGCAAAGGUAGCAUAAUCAUUAGUUUUUUAAUUGAAAGCUGGUAUGAAAGGUUGGAUGAGAAAAUAGCUGUCUCUGCUUUAACUAUUUAGAAUUUUAUUUUUAAGUAAAAAAGCUUAAAUUUUAGUAGAAGACGAGAAGACCCUAUAGAGUUUUAUUUAUUUUUUGUUUAAAAUUUUAAGUAUUGAAAAUUUUUAUGUUUAAAAUAAAUUUAAUUGGGGUGAUUGAAAAAUUUAUUAAACUUUUUUUUUAUAUAAUCAUUAAUUUAUGAGUUUUUGAUCCUUUUAUAAAGAUUAUAAGAUUAAAUUACCUUAGGGAUAACAGCGUAAUUUUUUUAAAGAGUUCAAAUCGAAAAAAAAGAUUGCGACCUCGAUGUUGGAUUAAAAUAAAAUUUUGGUGUAGAAGCUAAGAUAUUUAGGUCUGUUCGACCUUUAAAAUUUUACAUGAUCUGAGUUUAAACCGGUGUGAGCCAGGUUGGUUUCUAUCUCUACUUUGUUAUAAUAUUUUAGUACGAAAGGACCAAGUAUUAGUUUGAUAAAUUUAUUUUAGAAUAAUAUU
rnacentral:rRNA from 1 species